rnacentral:rRNA from 1 species
UACGGAGGGUGCAAGCGUUAAUCGGAAUUACUGGGCGUAAAGCGUGCGUAGGCGGUUCGUUAAGUCUGCUGUGAAAGCCCCGGGCUCAACCUGGGAAUGGCAGUGGAUACUGGCGAGCUAGAGUGUGAUAGAGGAUGGUGGAAUUCCCGGUGUAGCGGUGAAAUGCGUAGAGAUCGGGAGGAACAUCAGUGGCGAAGGCGGCCAUCUGGAUCAACACUGACGCUGAGGCACGAAAGCGUGGGGAG